rnacentral:sRNA from 1 species
UACGCCUGUAGUUCGAAGAGGAUGAGAACCUCCGCAGGAGGUUUGAGCCGAACGAAGUGAGACAACGUUGCUUAAGCAACGGCCCGAAGGGGCAUCAUCCUCUCUCGCCGACCA